UAAUACAGAGGGUGCAAGCGUUAAUCGGAAUUACUGGGCGUAAAGGGUGCGUAGGUGGUUAAUUAAGUCAGAUGUGAAAUCCCCAGGCUUAACCUGGGAAUUGCGUUUGAAACUGAAUAACUAGAGUAUGGUAGAGGGAAGUGGAAUUUCCGGUGUAGCGGUGAAAUGCGUAGAUAUCGGAAGGAACAUCAGUGGCGAAGGCGACUUCCUGGACCAUUACUGACACUGAGGCACGAAAGCGUGGGGAGCGAACAGGAUUAGAUACCCUGGUAGUCCACGCCGUAAACGAUGAGAACUAGAUGUUAGGGGGCUUAGACCCUUUAGUAUCGCAGCAAACGCGUUAAGUUCUCCGCCUGGGGAGUACGGCCGCAAGGUUA
rnacentral:rRNA from 1 species